AAUCCACCACAUCCUUUCAUUUCCUGAAACAUACCACGCACUUUCUCAUCUGGGGCCUUCAUUCAUUGCUGCAUUUGGGCUGCUGGAAAGUCUCGUCUCAUUUUCAGGUUUUCAGUAACAGAAGCUUUAAACAUAAACAUGAAUUAUUAAUUGCAAACUUCCUAUAAAUUCUACCAGAUUACCAUUCAAAGGCGGUGCAAGUCUAUCAAUGGAGAAUCCCUCUGGGACAGUGAUGAGGAACUAGGUGCAAAGCAGCAUGGGAAGACCUGGGGUAGGCGCGGAUUCCUGGCUUCUACUGAAAGAAGAAAAGGCACUGUUCAUUUCAAAGAAUAAUCCUGGUCGGAGGAUGGAGUCAAAUUGAUGGUGGGCUUGCGUUAGGACCGAAUACCGAAUAACUAGAGCUCAAGCAGAAGCAUCCUACUUCCAGUCAGUUCAGAAUCCCAAACAAAUUAAAGUGGGAAGAAAAGCAUCAUGAAGCAGAAAGUUCUCCCCAUUCUUGCCAGCAGAGCAGGAGCUACCUUGCAGGAGACAAAGAAGGGCCUGAACUAUGUGAUCGUCCUGCAGAGAGGGAGCAGUCCUUGGCCACAGCGAUGGGAAUUAAAAGAUGAAGAGCUCAGCCUCCUUGA
rnacentral:lncRNA from 1 species